AAUAAAACGAUGAAAGAAAAAGGCUUAUUCCAUUCUUUUAAAGAGAGCUCUUGGUUGGUGAAAAAGAGUAAGAACAAUAAGACGACACAUUCUGGAGUGUUUUUUUGAACAGAUAAAUAUCUAAAGUAGGAAAAAACGGUAGUUCCGUUAUCGCUAAGAUCAUUCGAAAGAGUGACCUGAUGAGUUUUGAUUUGUGAGAAUCAAAAAAAUCAGAGGUGGAACCACGUGUUGACGUCCUCUAG
rnacentral:ncRNA from 1 species